UACGUAGGGGGCGAGCGUUGUCCGGAUUUAUUGGGCGUAAAGAGCUCGUAGGCGGUUCGAUAAGUCGGACGUGAAAUCUCCACGCUCAACGUGGAGGGGCCGUUCGAUACUGUCGUGACUCGAGUCCGGUAGGGGAGUGUGGAAUUCUCGGUGUAGCGGUGAAAUGCGCAGAGAUCGGGAGGAACACCCGUAGCGAAGGCGGCACUCUGGGCCGGUACUGACGCUGAGGAGCGAAAGCGUGGGGAGCAAACAGG
rnacentral:rRNA from 1 species